UUGAACGCUGGCGGCAUGCCUAACACAUGCAAGUCGAACGGGUUGUAGCAAUACAACUAGUGGCGGACGGGUGAGGAAUACAUAGGAAUUUGCCUUUAGGUGGGGGAUAGUCCGGGGAAACUCGGUUUAAUACCGCAUGAUGUCGCAAGACCAAAGCAGGGGAUCGCAAGACCUUGCGCCUUUAGAGAAGCCUAUGUCGGAUUAGCUAGUUGGUAGGGUAACGGCCUACCAAGGCGACGAUCCGUAACUGGUCUGAGAGGACGAUCAGUCACACCGGAACUGAGACACGGUCCGGACUCCUACGGGAGGCAGCAGUGGGGAAUAUUGGACAAUGGGCGAAAGCCUGAUCCAGCAAUGCCGCGUGUGUGAAGAAGGCCUUCGGGUUGUAAAGCACUUUAGGCUGGGAGAAAAAUUUCACCUAAUACGUGAAGUCUUGACGGUACCAGUGGAAU
rnacentral:rRNA from 1 species